UACAGAGGUCUCAAGCGUUGUUCGGAUUCAUUGGGCGUAAAGGGUGCGUAGGUGGCGCGCUAAGUCAGGUGUGAAAUUUCGGAGCUUAACUCCGAAACUGCAUUUGAUACUGGCGUGCUUGAGGACUGGAGAGGAGACUGGAAUUCAUGGUGUAGCAGUGAAAUGCGUAGAGAUCAUGAGGAAGACCAGUGGCGAAGGCGGGUCUCUGGACAGUUCCUGACACUGAGGCACGGAAGGCCCAGGGGGAGCAAACGGGG
rnacentral:rRNA from 1 species